GGGCCAGUUGGUUGGUCGUGCCACCGGUACGUACUGGUCUCACUGAUUCCUCCUUCCUGAAGAACCGUAAUGCCAUUAAUUUGGUGUUGCGGGGAAACAGGACUGUUACUUUGAAAAAAUUAGAGUGUUUAAAGCAAGCUAACGCUUGAAUACAUUAGCAUGGAAUAAUGAAAUAGGACGAUCGAUCCUAUUUUGUUGGUUUCUAGGAUUGACGUA
rnacentral:rRNA from 1 species